rnacentral:rRNA from 1 species
UCUGGUUGAUCCUGCCAGUAGUUAUAUGCUUGUCUCAAAGAUUAAGCCAUGCAUGUCUAAGUACACACGAAUUAAAAGUGAAACCGCAAAAGGCUCAUUAUAUCAGUUAUGGUUCCUUAGAUCGUUAACAGUUACUUGGAUAACUGUGGUAAUUCUAGAGCUAAUACAUGCAAUUAAAACAUGAACCUUAUGGGACAUGUGCUUUUAUUAGGCUAAAACCAAGCGAUCGCAAGAUCGUUAUAUUGGUUGAACUCUAGAUAACAUGCAGAUCGUAUGGUCUUGUACCGACGACAGAUCUUUCAAAUGUCUGCCCUAUCAACUUUUGAUGGUAGUAUCUAGGACUACCAUGGUUGCAACGGGUAACGGGGAAUCAGGGUUCGAUUCCGGAGAGGGAGCCUGAGAAACGGCUACCACAUCUAAGGAAGGCAGCAGGCGCGUAAAUUACCCACUCCCAGCUCGGGGAGGUAGUGACGAAAAAUAACAAUACAGGACUCAUAUCCGAGGCCCUGUAAUUGGAAAUGAGUACACUUUAAAUCCUUUAACAAGGACCAAUUGGAGGGCAAGUCUGGUGCCAGCAGCCGCGGUAAUUCCAGCUCCAAUAGCGUAUAUUAAAGUUGUUGCGGUUAAAACGUUCGUAGUUGAACUUGUGCUUCAUACGGGUAGUACAACUUACAAUUGUGGUUAGUACUAUACCUUUAUGUAUGUAAGCGUAUUACCGGUGGAGUUCUUAUAUGUGAUUAAAUACUUGUAUUUUUUCAUAUGUUCCUCCUAUUUAAAAACCUGCAUUAGUGCUCUUAAACGAGUGUUAUUGUGGGCCGGUACUAUUACUUUGAACAAAUUAGAGUGCUUAAAGCAGGCUUCAAAUGCCUGAAUAUUCUGUGCAUGGGAUAAUGAAAUAAGACCUCUGUUCUGUUUUCAUUGGUUUUCAGAUCAAGAGGUAAUGAUUAAUAGAAGCAGUUUGGGGGCAUUAGUAUUACGACGCGAGAGGUGAAAUUCUUGGACCGUCGUAAGACUAACUUAAGCGAAAGCAUUUGCCAAAGAUGUUUUCAUUAAUCAAGAACGAAAGUUAGAGGUUCGAAGGCGAUCAGAUACCGCCCUAGUUCUAACCAUAAACGAUGCCAGCUAGCAAUAAUUGGGUGUAGCUACUUUUAUGGCUCUCUCAGUCGCUUCCCGGGAAACCAAAGCUUUUGGGCUCCGGGGGAAGUAUGGUUGCAAAGCUGAAACUUAAAGGAAUUGACGGAAGGGCACCACCAGGAGUGGAGCCUGCGGCUUAAUUUGACUCAACACGGGAAAACUUACCAGGUCCGAACAUAAGUGUGUAAGACAGAUUGAUAGCUCUUUCUCGAAUCUAUGGGUGGUGGUGCAUGGCCGUUCUUAGUUCGUGGAGUGAUUUGUCUGGUUAAUUCCGAUAACGAACGAGACUCAAAUAUAUUAAAUAGAUAUCUUCAGGAUUAUGGUGCUGAAGCUUAUAUAGCCUUCAUUCAUGGUGGCAGUAAAAUGUUUAUUGUGUUUGAAUGUGUUUAUGUAAGUGGAGCCGUACCUGUUGGUUUGUCCCAUUAUAAGGACACUAGCUUCUUAAAUGGACAAAUUGCGUCUAGCAAUAAUGAGAUUGAGCAAUAACAGGUCUGUGAUGCCCUUAGAUGUCCUGGGCUGCACGCGCGCUACAAUGAAAGUAUCAACGUGUAUUUCCUAGACCGAGAGGUCCGGGUAAACCGCUGAACCACUUUCAUGCUUGGGAUUGUGAACUGAAACUGUUCACAUGAACUUGGAAUUCCCAGUAAGUGUGAGUCAUUAACUCGCAUUGAUUACGUCCCUGCCCUUUGUACACACCGCCCGUCGCUACUACCGAUUGAAUUAUUUAGUGAGGUCUCCGGACGUGAUCACUGUGACGCCUUGCGUGUUACGGUUGUUUCGCAAAAGUUGACCGAACUUGAUUAUUUAGAGGAAGUAAAAGUCGUAACAAGGUUUCCGUAGGUGAACCUGCGGAAG